rnacentral:rRNA from 1 species
UACGGAGGGUGCAAGCAUUGAUCGGAAUUACUGGGCGUAAAGGGCGCGUAGGCUGUCCACUAAGUUAGAUGUGAAAAUCUGGGGCUCAACCUCAGAACGGCAUCUAAGACUGAUGGACUAGAGCGCAGUUAGGGAAAACGGAAUUCCACGUGUAGCGGUGAAAUGCGUAGAUAUGUGGAAGAACACCGGUGGUGAAGACGGUUUUCUGGGCUGAUGCUGACGCUGAGGCGCGAGAGCUAGGGGAGCAAACAGG